UACGUAGGGUGCAAGCGUUGUCCGGAAUUAUUGGGCGUAAAGGGCUCGUAGGCGGUCUGUCGCGUCAGGAGUGAAAACUCGGGGCUUAACCCCGAGCCUGCUUCUGAUACGGGCAGACUAGAGGUAUGCAGGGGAGAACGGAAUUCCUGGUGUAGCGGUGAAAUGCGCAGAUAUCAGGAGGAACACCGGUGGCGAAGGCGGGUCUCUGGGCCGAUACUGACGCUGAGGAGCGAAAGCGUGGGGAGCGAACAGG
rnacentral:rRNA from 1 species